rnacentral:rRNA from 1 species
UACGUAGGUGGCAAGCGUUGUUCGGAAUUACUGGGCGUAAAGGGCUCGUAGGCGGCCAACUAAGUCAGACGUGAAAUCCCUCGGCUUAACCGGGGAACUGCGUCUGAUACUGGAUGGCUUGAGAUUGGGAGAGGGAUGCGGAAUUCCAGGUGUAGCGGUGAAAUGCGUAGAUAUCUGGAGGAACACCGGUGGCGAAGGCGGCAUCCUGGACCAACACUGACGCUGAGGAGCGAAAGCCAGGGGAGCAAACGGG